AAUGGAAGAAAUCCUGGCUGCAAUAAUGUCUAGAGAGUUUUUAACUAUUUUCUUGUAUUCUGAGGGGAAUUAAGCUUAUUCUUACCUAGUUGAUUGAAUUCCUGCCAUCCAUACUAUGAGCCACACCUGGCCCCUUGUGGGUUCUUCUACACUGCUGGGAUCUCUGUUUUAAGUGCUCAGCUUCAUGAUUGAUUGCUGGGCUUCCAUUUUCCCAUCCAAUUCUGGAGUUCAUAGAGAGUGAAGAUGGUAGACUUGAACAGAUACCAAAUAAACUUACGAUCUUGUAAGAGUUGUCUAGCUACUUAAAACUCUCAGAAGUAAGAGCUUAGUCUCACGAGUUGUAAGAGUGGGAUUUGGAGCUUGGUGGUGGAGAUUGACUUCAGCUGAGAGAUGCACAACAGUCAUGGUUUUCUUAAGCCUCUUAUGAAACCAUGAAUGUGAGAUGAAGCUAAAGAAUAGAAUCCAGAGAUCACAAACUCAUCUAGAGUACUUCCACAAAAUUUACAAAGAUCUGGGAACUUUAGGGAUAGGAUAUAUUUUGUUGUUAACCAACUAGAGGCACUUUACGUAGGGUUAAGUGAUCAAACCCUUUUGUGGUUUUGAACACCAACAUACUGGCUUACACUGCUGAAAUAUUUUGGGUUUCAUUAUUUUGCACUGGAUCCACCCUGUAAAUACUCUUAAGUAUACAUUUCAACCACUGUUUUUUCUACUCUUUUUGCUGCUCAUUAAAAUCUUUCAUGUAGGUGCCAGAACCAUAUGUAAACAGCUUUUUAAAAAAUUGAAGCUGGUAUUUUGUUUAAACAAAAAGCCAUAGAACUUGGUCAUGUUUUCCAUUUUAAAAUGAUUUAUUGAAACAAGGUAAUACUAAUAAAAACCCACAGGCACCAAACAGGCUGCUUAAAAUGGUCUGUUAAAGACAUUUUUUGGUUAUGGAAUAUAACUAAGAAAAGUUUUGCACAUCUGUAAGGGGGAAAAACAGUAUAUCACCAUUGGGUAGAGUGGACAGGACUCAUGUAAGGACUCACUUAAUUUGGGGAAGAGCAUUCAGUGGCAUGCUGUUAGAGGACUAGUGUCCGAGAAUCUCCUCACAGUAUCAUGUUGCAGGAAUUCCCCAUUGCUCUGCAACUUCCAAACCAGUUUGAGUCAUACAAAUGUUUUCUAAACUUUUAUUGUAUUACUGCAAUAAAUCUUUUAACAAU
rnacentral:lncRNA from 1 species